GAUGAACGCUGGCGGCGUGCCUAAUACAUGCAGGUCGAGCGAACAGACGAGGAGCUUGCUCCUCUGACGUUAGCGGCGGACGGGUGAGUAACACGUGGAUAACCUACCUAUAAGACUGGGAUAACUUCGGGAAACCGGAGCUAAUACCGGAUAAUAUAUUGAACCGCAUGGUUCAAUAGUGAAAGACGGUUUUGCUGUCACUUAUAGAUGGAUCCGCGCCGCAUUAGCUAGUUGGUAAGGUAACGGCUUACCAAGGCAACGAUGCGUAGCCGACCUGAGAGGGUGAUCGGCCACACUGGAACUGAGACACGGUCCAGACUCCUACGGGAGGCAGCAGUAGGGAAUCUUCCGCAAUGGGCGAAAGCUUGACGGAGCAACGCCGCGUGAGUGAUGAAGGUCUUCGGAUCGUAAAACUCUGUUAUUAGGGAAGAACAAAUGUGUAAGUAGCUAUGCACGUCUUGACGGUACCUAAUCAGAAAGCCACGGCUAACUACGUG
rnacentral:rRNA from 1 species